rnacentral:rRNA from 1 species
GACGAACGCUGGCGGCGCGCCUAACACAUGCAAGUCGAGCGAGAGACUUCGGUCUCUAGCGGCGGACGGGUGAGUAACACGUGGGUAACCUGCCUCAUAGAGGGGGAUAGCCUUCCGAAAGGAAGAUUAAUACCGCAUAUACUCUCGAUACCACAUGGUAUUUAGAGGAAAGGAGCAAUCCGCUAUGAGAUGGACCCGCGGCGCAUUAGCUAGUUGGUGAGGUAACGGCUCACCAAGGCGACGAUGCGUAGCCGACCUGGGAGGGUGAUCGGCCACAUUGGAACUGAGACACGGUCCAGACUCCUACGGGAGGCAGCAGUGGGGAAUAUUGCACAAUGGGCGAAAGCCUGAUGCAGCAACGCCGCGUGAGUGAUGACGGCCUUCGGGUUGUAACGCUCUGUCUUUUGGGACGAUAAUGACGGUACCAAAGGAGGAAGCCACGGCUAACUACGUGCCAGCCGCCGCGGUAACAC